rnacentral:misc_RNA from 1 species
UUAAGUUCAGCGGGUAGUCCUACCUGAUUUGAGGUCACAUUAAUGAAAAUUUGUCCAAGUCAAUGGACUGUUAGAAGCUGAACUGUUUAACGUCAAUAGCGUAGAUAGUUAUCACACCAAUGAACGGUCCACAGAUUGUUCCGCUAAUACAUUUUAGGGGAGCUGACCUGAGAAGGCCAGCAAAAAUAACCCCCCACAUC